AUUGAACGCUGGCGGCAUGCUUUACACAUGCAAGUCGAACGGCAGCGCGGGCUUCGGCCUGGCGGCGAGUGGCGAACGGGUGAGUAAUGCAUCGGUACGCGCCCAGCUGCGGGGUCUUGGCGGGUAACAUCGGGAUACUUACCCCAAUACCCCAUAGGGUCUAAGGGGGAAAGCAAAGGAUCUUCGGCCCUUGCGCGGGCGGAUGUCGGAUUAGCUAGUUGGUGGGGUAAAGGCUUACCAAGGCGACGAUCCGUAGCUGGUCUGAGAGGACGACCAGCCACACUGGAACUGAGACACGGCCCAGACUCCUACGGGAGGCAGCAGUGGGGAAUAUUGGACAAUGGGGGCAAGCCUGAUCCAGCCAUGCCGCGUGCGGGAAGAAGGCCUUCGGGUUGUAAACCGCUUUUGUUCGGGAAGAAAUCCUGUGGGCUAAUACCCCGGGGUGAUGACGGUACCGGAAGAAUAAGCACCGGCUAACUACGUG
rnacentral:rRNA from 1 species